UACGGAGGGGGCAAGCGUUGUUCGGAAUUACUGGGCGUAAAGGGCGCGCAGGCGGCUGCUCAAGUCAGGCGUGAAAGGCCUGGGCUCAACCCGGGAAUUGCGCUUGAUACGGUCGUGCUAGAGGAUGGAAGAGGCUCGUGGAAUUCCCGGUGUAGAGGUGAAAUUCGUAGAUAUCGGGAGGAACACCAGUGGCGAAGGCGGCGACCUGGACGGACACUGACGCUGAGACGCGAAAGCGUGGGGAGCAAACAGG
rnacentral:rRNA from 1 species